CGGCGGACGGGUGAGUAACGCGUGGGUAACCUGCCUCAUACAGGGGGAUAACAGUCAGAAAUGACUGCUAAUACCGCAUAAGACCACGGUACCGCAUGGUACAGUGGUAAAAACUCCGGUGGUAUGAGAUGGACCCGUGUCUGAUUAGGUAGUUGGUGGGGUAACGGCCUACCAAGCCGACGAUCAGUAGCCGACCUGAGAGGGUGACCGGCCACAUUGGGACUGAGACACGGCCCAA
rnacentral:rRNA from 1 species